rnacentral:tRNA from 1 species
GGGCCCGUGGCUCAGCCUGGUUAGAGCGCACGGCUGAUAACCGUGAGGUCCUGGGUUCAAAUCCCAGCGGGCCCA